CUACAAGUGUGACAUCAGCGGUCAUGGAGAGUCUCCAUCCAGCUGGAUCACUGUCACAGGUAGGCCUGCAAACACAAUCCUACACCCAUCCUCAGCACCGCCUCCUGACCCCACCUCCCUCAACCUUGUGUUCAGAGUUGUCUGUCACCUGCUGGUGUUCUGUCCAUACUUCAUCUCCACUCUCCUCAUGGUGUCUUUAUAUCGACGCAGAGCCAAAGCAUCCCUGCCGACCCAAGCUGAGCAGAGACAGACCGAGGACUUUCAUAACAUUGUGGAGGUGACCACUGAGCAUCACUUCUGAGUUGCACAAAUUAUGGGCCAAUUGUCUAAGGAGCUUGGAAAGAAAAACAUCUGGACUUCUUCUACGAUGACCUGGAUGACUGAGAACCUUCACAGAACCCCCCCACCCACCCACGCCCCUGACACUUACUAAUGCUCACCCUCCCUCUUGAUCAUAGAGGCUCACGGUGUUGGACUAUGUGAGGAGAUUAUGGUCAGGGUCGGAAUCCUCAUCAACGCGUCCAGUAAGAGUCCCAGACUAGACCCUCCUCUCCCACAUUUACCUAAGACUGAUAUACAAAACACAAUAUACAAACUAACUGAGAAAAGACAAUCAUGUACAGGGUUGUUUGUACACAUGAUAUCAAUCAACAAUCAUUCUAACUGCUUUUUUUAUUUCUAAUUGUGGUUGCUUUACCGUACAAAUUCUCCUUACAAAAAAUGUUCAACAUUAAGGACCUUAUAAAUCUUGUUUAAUAAAUGUGA